AGUAGUUCGUAUCCUGGCUCAGGACAACGCUGGCGGCGUGCUUCAAACAUGCAAUCGAACGGAGUUAAUUUAGCUUGCUAAAUUAACUUAGUGGCGGACUGGUGAGUAACGCGUGAGUAAUCUGCCUAUUACAGGGGGAUAACAGUUGGAAACGACUGCUAAUACCGCAUAAGACCACGGGAAGGCAUCUUCAAGGGGUCAAAGGGAUACUGGUAAUAGAUGAGCUUGCGUAUCAUUAGCUAGAUGGUGAGGGUAAAGGCCCACCAUGGCGACGAUGAUUAGCCGAUCUGAGAGGAUGACCGGCCACACUGGAACUGAGAUACGGUCCAGACUCCUACGGGAGGCAGCAGUUAGGAAUAUUGGGCAAUGGAGGAAACUCUGACCCAGCAACGCCGCGUGAGGGAAGAAGGUUUUCGGAUUGUAAACUUCUGAUCUUGGGGAAAAAGAAAGUGAUGGUACCCAAGGAGAAAGCCACGGCUAACUACGUG
rnacentral:rRNA from 1 species